ensembl:lncRNA
CCGGAAGCCUAGCGGCAGAGUGGGCGGUCUGGCUUUCGGGCCGGCGGCGGACUGCGUGGCUGUGUGGCAGUGCGCUGGCGCUGCAGGGAGGGAUGCUGUGCCCCUGGGAGAGCCCGUCGCGGGAGCGCAAGGAGCUGGACAGACUCUGGAGCUUCCACGCUGACUUCUCGGACGACCGGCGCCAGGGCUUCCAGGAGCAGUGGUAGCGGCUGCUGCUGCGCUGAGUUCCUGUUCUGGGCUUCAUUCUGCAUGACCCAUCUCAGCAGGAGGGCCAGGGACCUCAUCCUCUAUGGCACCAAGGAAUUCAGCUUCCUGCAGCUCUCAGAUGCCUACAGGUUAUCACCUAACAGCAAUAAACCUCACAUGCACAGCUUUGGGAUGAUGUUGGAUAAACCUGUGCCCAGGCAGACGUGGGGAACCCAACUCCAUGCAGACAGCAGCCCUGCCUGGAAUCGAUUUUCUUUAUCAAUGUUAGAAAUGACAUUGAAGAAAAUAAUUUUAUUUGGGCACCUGAUAUAUUUCAUGAAAGCUAGCAUCUGUUUUAUUUUUCAGCUGCAAAUUAUUAUUUUUAAAGUCCUGUUUCAAACACAUAAACAGUUGCAAAGAGUAACAACAUUGUUUGCUUCUUCAUUUUAAACAAAUUAUUUCUCAGUGCUAGCAAGCUAAAAUUGUCCUGGAAACCUAAAAAAAAAAGAAGAACAAAAUUUCUUCAGUUGUAAAUGAUUAUAAAAUAACUUUUUCUAAAGUUAAAAAUAAACACAAUUUUUUUCUUUAUGUAAUUUUUAAAAUGUUAGUUUAAAAAUAAUUAUAAAAAGCUGUGAUUACAGUUCUUAUAAAUAUAACCAUCACAUAGCAGGCUUAAAAUAAAUUCCAAAAUGAUUAAUAAACGUGAAUCUGAUUUACAUUUGAUCGAAUUAACAGUGCAGUGUGGCAGUGUGCUUGUUGUUUUAUGCGUAUUAACAAAUUAACAUAAGAUUAAAUUAAAACAAAAUUUAGUACAGGACUUAAGAAUUUAAAUAUAUCCACUUAUAGGUAUAUCUAAAGUAGCUGACUAGCAGUAUGUCUUUUCAAUAUGUAAUAAGUUUCUAUAUGUUAAUUAAGUUUUAAUUAAAGUUAAAUGUCUAAGAGGGAGGUAAUUUCAGAAUCAAGACGUAGAGUUAGGAGCCUAUUUCAGUGGGGUGAGUGUGAGAUAGUCAGUGUUUAACAAUGGGUGGGAAUGGCAAGACAACACACACGAGAUUUUGAAAAGCAGGUAUUACAUGUUUUGAUUGCCUUAAAUAUUUUUCCUCUUAUGAGUAAAAUAUGCCAAGAACAGGUGAAAUAAGGGCUGGGAAUGUGCUUGAGAAAAGUGGUGAUCACUUAGGACAAUAGCAAAUGGAAAUGGGGAAAAUGCACUGACUAUAAUUCAGGAAAAAAGCAUGAGUAGUUUGGGCCUUGAGAUCAUACAUAGGUAUCAGUAUAGAUCAGCAAGUUCUUCACCAGCUUUCUUGUGCACACAUAUGGGAAGAUAGUGGUUGGCUGGAUUGAUCUCGAGUUGAGGUUUUGUCAGAGAUGGGACAGAUUGGUAGUAGAACUUUAACACAGUUCAGGGGCUGGUGAGAAAGAAUGAGUACUAGCCAUGUUGUCCAGUCUGGGUCAAAAAACUGACAAAAUUAUUAAUAGAGGUUAUCUAAAAUUGGGAUAGUUUUUCAGGAAGUGCAAGAAUAUGAUAAUUAAGAGAUAUGGUAGUGUGGUCAGAAAACGGGGUUAGGUGCCUAAGAUUUUUAUGACAAAGUAUAGCAAGGUUCAAGGUAUAACCAGUGAUAUCACACCUUGCACCUUGAUGUCAUACCUUGCAGUGGAGUGGAGAGAAAAGUUAUUGGGUUAAAAGGCUCAACCAUGAGUUACUUUACAAGAAUUAUGAAACUGCCUGCAGGAAGCAGUGACAAGAAGCCAGGAGCUACAUGAAGGAAGAGAACUAUGAUGGACAUCAGUAGUCACCUUGCAUGGUGGCAUGAGUCUCAAAGUCAAAGGGGUGUAACAAGGGAGAAACAAGUAGAAGUAGGGAACACAGAUCAUAAGGGUGCUGGCAACACCUCUAAGCCUGAAGGGAAAAGGACUCCCUUCCCUUAAUUCUACAUGACUCAGGCGCCAUGUACAUACUACCAUGUAGGAAACCAUGAAUGGCUAUGCACACUGUCUUCUUUAACUGUAUAAUAAAACCACACAUUUUCUUUUUUCUCUCUUCUUCCACCCAAAGCCAUGAAUUUGACUUAAGAUAGUUUUUCCUUCAUAGAUAUACUUAAAGGAUAGUAAACCAAAGAAGGAAAGAAAGAAGCAGAAACUAAGCUGUAGAAAAAUGAGCAACUGAGGUCAGGUGCAGUGGCUCACAUAUGUAAUCCCAGAAGUUUGGGAAGCCAAGGAAGGAGGAUCACUUGAGACCAGGAGUUCAAGACCAGCCUAGGCAACAUGGCAAAACACAAUUUCUACAAAAAAUAGAAAAAAACCAUUAGCUGGGUAUGGUGUCACAUGACUGUAGUCCCAGCUACUUGAGGGGCUGAAGUGGAAGGAUUGCUUGAGCACAACCGGUAGAGGCUGCAGUGAGCUGUGAUUGUGCCACUGCAAUCCAGCCUGGGCCACAGAACGAGACCCUGUCUCAAAACAAAAUAAAAAAGAGUAACUAGAACCACCCCCCCAUUUCUCUCCAAAAAUCUCAGACCUAAACUCCCACUGAGAAUAGUUUUGAGGGCUGAAUAUAAUGAUAACAGAAAAGCACAUCUUUUAAGGUCUAUGAGAAUGAUAUAAAGCAGACAGGAUUUUUAAAGUCAAAAAUUAAGACAGAGGCAUACGUGUUAAGAUUAUUCUCACAUUUUGCAAGUCAUUUUCCUUUCAAAGGAUUGCUGAGUCUCAUUUUAGGGUAUUACAGUCAAACAGGAAUCUGCAGCUCAGAUAAAAUGGUUUUGGGAAACAGGAUAUGACAGGCCUGAACUGGGCUAUCAAGCAGUGACAGUUUGAGGGACCUAUUAUCUAUAGGAAGAAUUACAAGAGAGCAAGCCUGACAGCUGCCUGGCUUUAGGUUCUUGAUAAAUUUGCCCAAUCCUAAUUUUUUUUCCUAAGAUUAGAAGCAAAGGAACCAAAUGAAAGAGGUGCUUUCAGUAGUCUAAAGAGCUAUACAGAGCAUUUGGAAUUGUGGGUGCUGGGAGACAGAGUUGGGAGUUCAUGGCCUAUCUUUUAAAGGGAGAUCUGCUUGAGAAGAUCACAAUCUCUGGGGUUAUGACUGGGAAGUCAGUAAAGUAAAAUGUGGUCUUGAAUCAGUCCGCCAGCUGACUGGAUCAAGGCAGUCCUUUGACAGCCAGGAAAAAGUCCUCUGGAGAAGACACGAAUGCACAGCCAAGCCUGGGAAUCAAAGCAAACUCACCUGAAACAUCCAGAAACAGCAUCCUAUGACCCAACACUAAGAGAGACACAGUAGAAAAGGAGCAGGGUAUCCAGAUACCACUGUUAUCAAUAACAGAAAAUUUAAUGGUUAACUAUGAUUUGUGUGCUUUAGAAAAGAAACUGAUGAUUGUCAGUUUUGGCAGAAAACUGGAAAUCAUGUGAAUCAAACAAAUUUAGAAUUGAAAAAUAAAUACCUGAAAUACAAAAUGCAUACAUAUGGGUUGAGUUGGAAGAUAGAUUAGUGCAAAACAUUCUAACUGAAGCAGAAAAAAUUGAUAGUUUGUACAGAAAAUAUUUGUGUAAUUGAAGUUCCAGAAGAAAGGGAGAGAGGAAUUGAGAAAUAAGCAAUAUUUUAAGACAAUAUCACCAAGAAUUUCCCCAAACUGACAAUAGACAUUAAGAGAAAGAUUUAAGAAAAUCUACAAAGCAGUCAAGUUAAUGCAAGAAAAACCACCUGGUACAUUAUAAUAAAUCUGCAGAAAAACAGGGCAAGGAAAGAUUUUAAAAGCAGCAUAAACAAAUAAAUGUUAUUUUUAGGUGAUAAAAUAUUAAUAUAAGGCAGUCAGACUGUCUCAAUAUAAACAAAGGAAGUAAACAGAAAACAAUGGCAUCCUUGAAAUAUUGGGAAAGUGAAACAAGCUAACAGACAAAGAUAAUUAAAAAGAAAUUUAUUAAUCAAAAAGAAAAAGCAAUAAGCUCCAAUUUAUCAGUAAUUACACUGUAAAUAAAUGGUAAAACUGAUUAGGCAAAAAUAAAACAACUCCGUUAUACUUACAGGAAACAAUCAUUAAGUAAGCAUACAUAGAAUAGUUGAAAGUCAGAGGUUAGAAAAAGAUAUUCUUUUUAAAGACCAAGAAAAGAAAAAAAAUGAUAGCUUUAUAAUCGUAAGUCAAAGUUGACAUUAAUGCAAGAUAUAUAGCUAAAAAGAAAAAAAAAUGAUGGCAAUCAGAGAGUGAUUUGACAAUCCUAAAUUUGUAAGCUUUAAAUAAUAAUAUACUCUCAUACUAUGUAACAUGGACAUUGACCAAACUGCAAACAAAAUAGAAGCAUUCAACAUUAUACAUGAAGAUUUUAACCUACCUCUAAAACUGAUGCCCUAAUUAGACGAAACGAUCAAUAGACCUGUCAAUUUGAACAACUUGAUUACAAACUUGACAUACAGAAAGCCCUGCAACCAAUACUUACAGAAUGUAACUUGUUGUAAGUACAUGUGGGAUCCUUAACAAAACUGACCAUUUUUAAAUAAAAAAUCCUAAUUUCUGACAAAGGACUGGGAUCUACACUACAAUAUAUGAAAAGAGCUCUUGAUAUUUAAAAAAAAAAAAGAGAAACCUCUCAUUAAAGAAGAUGUAUGAUGGAAAAUAAACAUGUGAGACAAGGUUUUACAUCAUUAGCAAGCAGUUCAAUGCACAUAGCUAUUAGAGAAGCAUAAAAAAAAUGCUGACACCACCAAGUGUCUGUUGAGAAUACAGAAAACAUGGGGUGCUCACACAUUGCGGGUGGGAAUGUGAAACAGUACAACCAGGCUGGGGAAUCAUUUGGUAGCUUUAAAAACUAAGCAUGUGAUUAUACAAUGAAGCUAUGGCAUGCUUUUCCAUCAGCAUGUUGAGUUCAGUCAAUAGAUUUUGUGUUUCUUUUCACUGACUGACAGCAGCCCCUAUGUGAUUAUUUUGUUUUGUGUGACCCAGACAUUACUAUGCAGAGGGAGUUUUCAAUAAACACUGUCAAAUUAUUUCAGCUACACUUCCUGUUCUUUUCAAAAUUUUCUUAAUAUGCAAUUACCUAUAACAUAUUUUAAAAAGUUUGUGAUAUAGUUACAUA